GGCUCAGGAUGAACGCUGGCGGCGUGCCUAAUACAUGCAAGUCGAGCGAACGGACGAGAAGCUUGCUUCUCUGAUGUUAGCGGCGGACGGGUGAGUAACACGUGGAUAACCUACCUAUAAGACUGGGAUAACUUCGGGAAACCGUAGCUAAUACCGGAUAAUAUUUUGAACCGCAUGGUUCAAAAGUGAAAGACGGUCUUGCUGUCACUUAUAGAUGGAUCCGCGCUGCAUUAGCUAGUUGGUAAGGUAACGGCUUACCAAGGCAACGAUGCAUAGCCGACCUGAGAGGGUGAUCGGCCACACUGGAACUGAGACACGGUCCAGACUCCUACGGGAGGCAGCAGUAGGGAAUCUUCCGCAAUGGGCGAAAGCCUGACGGAGCAACGCCGCGUGAGUGAUGAAGGUCUUCGGAUCGUAAAACUCUGUUAUUAGGGAAGAACAUAUGUGUAAGUAACUGUGCACAUCUUGACGGUACCUAAUCAGAAAGCCACGGCUAACUACGUGCCAGCAGCCGCGGUAAUACGUAGGUGGCAAGCGUUAUCCGGAAUUAUUGGGCGUAAAGCGCGCGUAGGCGGUUUUUUAAGUCUGAUGUGAAAGCCCACGGCUCAACCGUGGAGGGUCAUUGGAAACUGGAAAACUUGAGUGCAGAAGAGGAAAGUGGAAUUCCAUGUGUAGCGGUGAAAUGCGCAGAGAUAUGGAGGAACACCAGUGGCGAAGGCGACUUUCUGGUCUGUAACUGACGCUGAUGUGCGAAAGCGUGGGGAUCAAACAGGAUUAGAUACCCUGGUAGUCCACGCCGUAAACGAUGAGUGCUAAGUGUUAGGGGGUUUCCGCCCCUUAGUGCUGCAGCUAACGCAUUAAGCACUCCGCCUGGGGAGUACGACCGCAAGGUUGAAACUCAAAGGAAUUGACGGGGACCCGCACAAGCGGUGGAGCAUGUGGUUUAAUUCGAAGCAACGCGAAGAACCUUACCAAAUCUUGACAUCCUUUGACAACUCUAGAGAUAGAGCCUUCCCCUUCGGGGGACAAAGUGACAGGUGGUGCAUGGUUGUCGUCAGCUCGUGUCGUGAGAUGUUGGGUUAAGUCCCGCAACGAGCGCAACCCUUAAGCUUAGUUGCCAUCAUUAAGUUGGGCACUCUAAGUUGACUGCCGGUGACAAACCGGAGGAAGGUGGGGAUGACGUCAAAUCAUCAUGCCCCUUAUGAUUUGGGCUACACACGUGCUACAAUGGACAAUACAAAGGGCAGCGAAACCGCGAGGUCAAGCAAAUCCCAUAAAGUUGUUCUCAGUUCGGAUUGUAGUCUGCAACUCGACUACAUGAAGCUGGAAUCGCUAGUAAUCGUAGAUCAGCAUGCUACGGUGAAUACGUUCCCGGGUCUUGUACACACCGCCCGUCACACCACGAGAGUUUGUAACACCCGAAGCCGGUGGAGUAACCUUUUAGGAGCUAGCCGUCGAAGGUGGGACAAAUGAUUGGGGUGAAGUCGUAACAAGGUAGCCGUAUCGGAAGGUGCGGCUGGAUCACCUCCUUUCU
rnacentral:rRNA from 1 species